CCAACUUUCUUUACCGUUUUUGUUUUUGGAAAUUUAUUUGGAUUUUGUAAAAUCUUCAAUGCUUGGAAAUUAACUUCUACUACUACUGUUGCAAACGUGGCUGAUCUUUUACUGUUCUUCGCUGCCAGCCAACCGUUUUGUUGUCUGAUUAUUUUCUUUGGUCUUCUGGGAGUGUUUAUGAGUUCAUAUGUUUGAAAUGGUUUUGGGGGGUUUUGGAGUUGUUUUUGGAACUGGGUUUUGACUGUCAGUGGUGUGAAACUUGUUAUUGAAUUGAGCCAAGUGUGUAUUGGCUGGGUGUUUGGUUGGUGGGUGAAAUCUUGCGUGGUAGAUGUGUUCUGAGCUUUGUGGCUGUAAAAGCGCAAUAUGAUUAUGUUGAUAACUACAAUGUUGAAUUUCGUAAACACAAAGUCAAUUUGGGAUUUGCCUCUUUCGUCUGAAUAAAGUUUGACUUUACUGUUUUACUGUUUCUCUUUCUGAUCCAAAUUUGUUUCCCAGUGAGUGUCUCUCUCGGAUUGUCUUGUUAGCUUAGUCUCAUUCUGUUUCAUUCAGAAAAAAACAUGGGGACCAAUUUGAACAUGAAGAAUUUCGGGUCGGACACACCGGGCGAUGGCAACGGAAGGGCGCCGGGGAACUUUCCGUUGGCGCGGCAAUCGUCGAUCUACGCCUUGACCUUCGAUGAGUUGCAGAACACGAUGGGUGGGAGCCUAGGCAAGGACUUCGGGUCCAUGAACAUGGACGAGCUACUCAAGAACAUUUGGAGCGCCGAGGAUGCCCAGAGCAUUAUGGCCAAGCCGUCCUGGACUGCCGGACCAGAAGGGGCUGGCCCACCUGGUGGUUAUCUACAGAGGCAGGGCUCGCUGACUCUGCCGAGGACGCUGAGCCAGAAGACCGUGGACGAGGUCUGGAAAAAUAUAUCCCAGGAUGCGACUGGAAAUGGAAGCUCAAGCUUGCCGCAGAGGCAGCAUACCUUAGGGGAGAUGACUUUGGAGGAGUUCUUGUUCAGAGCUGGAGUUGUGAGAGAGGACGCCCAAUUGGAUGCCAAGCCUGUUGGUGGUACUGCUAGUACCGGAGGGUUCUUAGGAAAUACUGGUUUGGGAAUUGGAUUUCAGCAGACUGGUGGGGGUACCGGGUUGAUGGGGAAUCGGAUUCCAGAGAGUAAUAAUCAGUUUUCGAUUCAGUCUUCGAAUUUGCCACUGAAUGUGAAUGGGGUCAGAUCGGAUCAGACACAGUUGUCACGGCCUCAGCAGCCGCAGAUUUUUCCUAAGCCGAUUACGGUGGCUUAUGGCACACAUCAGAUGCCUCAGCUGGGUAGUCCAGGGAUGAGGGGUGGGAUUGUGGGGAUAGGAGAUCAGGGUUUGACUAGCGGGUUGGUUCCGAGUGCGGCACUGCAGGGUGGAGGAAUGGGAAUGGUGGGGUUAGGAGCUGGAGCUGGAGGUGUUAGCGUUGCGACGGGAUCGCCAGUGAACCAGCUGUCGUCGGAUGGGAUUGGGAAGAGCAAUGGUGAUAUGUCGUCAGUGUCACCAGUUCCUUAUGCGUUUAAUGGUGGUUUGAGGGGGAGGAGGUCAGGUGGGCCUGUGGAGAAGGUCGUUGAGAGGAGGCAGAGGAGGAUGAUUAAGAAUAGGGAGUCAGCUGCGAGGUCGCGAGCUCGAAAGCAGAUUAUGCAGCAGAAUGGUAAUGUGAUAGCGAUCUGACAUUACCAGAGAUCAAAGGUUUUGAUAAGUAACGGUCAUGAGCAGUUAAAAGGAUCAAGUUUAUUACAAGGCUUAUACCAUGGAACUGGAAGCUGAAGUUGCAAAGUUAAAGGAGGAUAACGAAGAAUUGCGGAAAAAGCAGGAAGAAAUUAUCCAAAU